rnacentral:rRNA from 1 species
UCGGGAAUUUUGGGCAAUGGGCGAAAGCCUGACCCAGCAACGCCGCGUGAAGGAUGAAGUAUUUCGGUAUGUAAACUUCGUAAGAAUAGGAAGAAUAAAUGACGGUACUAUUUGUAAGGUCCGGCUAACUACGUGCCAGCAGCCGCGGUAAUACGUAGGGACCAAGCGUUGUUCGGAUUUACUGGGCGUAAAGGGCGCGUAGGCGGCAUGACAAGUCACUUGUGAAAUCUCUGGGCUUAACCCAGAACGGCCAAGUGAUACUGUCGCGCUAGAGUGCAGAAGGGGCAAUCGGAAUUCUUGGUGUAGCGGUGAAAUGCGUAGAUAUCAAGAGGAACACCUGAGGUGAAGACGGGUUGCUGGGCUGACACUGACGCUGAGGCGCGAAAGCCAGGGGAGCAAACGGGAUUAGAUACCCCUGUAGUCCCUGAGCGGGCUGGCAAGGCGCAU